rnacentral:rRNA from 1 species
CCUACGGGAGGCAGCAGUGGGGAAUAUUGGACAAUGGGCGAAAGCCUGAUCCAGCCAUGCCGCGUGUGUGAAGAAGGCCUUCGGGUUGUAAAGCACUUUCAGUGGGGAAGAAAGCCUUGGGGCUAAUACCCUCGAGGAAGGACAUCACCCACAGAAGAAGCACCGGCUAACUCCGUGCCAGCAGCCGCGGUAAUACGGAGGGUGCGAGCGUUAAUCGGAAUUACUGGGCGUAAAGCGCGCGUAGGCGGUCUGAUAAGCCGGUUGUGAAAGCCCCGGGCUCAACCUGGGAACGGCAUCCGGAACUGUCAGGCUAGAGUGCAGGAGAGGAAGGUAGAAUUCCCGGUGUAGCGGUGAAAUGCGUAGAGAUCGGGAGGAAUACCAGUGGCGAAGGCGGCCUUCUGGACUGACACUGACGCUGAGGUGCGAAAGCGUGGGUAGCAAACAGGAUUAGAUACCCCGGUAGU